rnacentral:misc_RNA from 1 species
GAUGAAGAACGUAGCGAAAUGCGAUAAGUAAUGCGAAUUGCAGAAUUCAGUGAAUCAUCGAAUCUUUGAACGCAUAUUGCGCUCUUUGGUAUUCCGAAGAGCAUGCUUGUUUGAGUAUCAGUAAACACCUCAAAGCUUUUGGAUUUUUUAAUCGAAAAGCUUUGGACUUGAGCAAUCCCAACACCAAUCUUUUUGAGAUCGGUGGCGGGUUGCUUGAAAUGCAGGUGCAGCUGGACAUUCUCCUGAGCUAAAAGCAUAUUCAUUUAGUCCCGUCAAACGGAUUAUUACUUUUGCUGCAGCUAACAUAAAGGGAGUUUGACCGUAUUGGCUGACUGAUGCAGGAUUUCACAAGGGUCGGCAACGAUUCUUGUUAAACUCGAUCUCAAAUCAAGUAAGACUACCCGCUGAACUUAAGCAUAUCAAUAAGCGGAGGA